rnacentral:rRNA from 1 species
AGAGUUUGAUCCUGGCUCAGAAUGAACGCUGGUGGUAUGCUUAAUACAUGCAAGUCGAACGAGAAAUAGUCCUUCGGGACUGUGGAAAGUGGCAAACGGGUGAGUAAUACAGAGGAAUCUACCUAGCAGUACGGAAUAGCUCUUGGAAACGAGAAAUAAUACCGUAUAUUACCUUUCGAGGGAAAGAUUUAUUGCUGUUAGAUGAGCCUCUGUCGGAUUAGCUUGUUGGUAGGGUAAUGGCCUACCAAGGCGAUGAUCCGUAGCUGGUCUGAGAGGAUGACCAGCCACAUUGGGACUGCGACACGGCCCAAACUCCUACGGGAGGCAGCAGUAGGGAAUAUUGGACAAUGGGCGAAAGCCUGAUCCAGCAAUACCACGUGAGUGAUGAAGGCCUUCGGGCUGUAAAGCUCUUUUAGUAGGGAAGAUAAUGACGGUACCUACAGAAAAAGCACCGGCUAACUCCGUGCCAGCAGCCGCGGUAAUACGGAGGGUGCUAGCGUUAUUCGGAAUCAUUGGGCGUAAAGCGUGCGUAGGCGGCAUGACAAGUUGGUUGUGAAAGCCCAGGGCUUAACCUUGGAACUGCAACCAAAACUGUCGAGCUGGAGUAUGGUAUGCGAUAGCAGAAUUUCUAGUGUAGGGGUGAAAUCCGUAGAUAUUAGAAGGAAUACCAGCGGCGAAGGCGGCUAUCUAGACCAUUACUGACGCUAAGGCACGAAAGCGUGGGGAGCGAACAGGAUUAGAUACCCUGGUAGUCCACGCAGUAAACGAUGAGUGCUAAUUGUCUGGAACUUAGUUCUGGGUGAUGAAGCUAACGCGUUAAGCACUCCGCCUGGGGAGUACGGCCGCAAGGCUAAAACUCAAAGGAAUUGACGGGGACCCGCACAAGCGGUGGAACAUGUGGUUUAAUUCGAUGCUACACGAAGAACCUUACCAACCCUUGACAUGGUGAUCGCAGGAGACAGAGAUGACUCCUAUCAGUUAGGCUGGAUCACACACAGGUGUUGCAUGGCUGUCGUCAGCUCGUGUCGUGAGAUGUUAGGUUAAGUCCUUCAACGAGCGCAACCCUCACCCUUAUUUGCCAGCGGGUUAUGCCGGGAACUAUAAGGGAACUGCCGACGAUAAGUUGGAGGAAGGUGGGGAUGAGGUCAAGUCAUCACGGCCCUUAUGGGUUGGGCUACACACAUGUUACAAUGGUGGUUACAACGGGAAGCAAAGGAGCGAUCCAGAGCAAAUCCUUUAAAAGCCAUCUCAGUUCGGAUUGUAGGCUGCAACUCGCCUACAUGAAGUUGGAAUCGCUAGUAAUCGUGGGUCAGCUAUACCACGGUGAAUACGUUCUCGGGUCUUGUACACACUGCCCGUCAAGCCAUGGGAGUUGCUUCUGCCUGAAUUCGGUGAGCUAACCCGCAAGGGAGGUAGCCGAACACGGUGGGGGUAGCGACUGGGGUUAAGUCGGAACAAGGUA